rnacentral:rRNA from 1 species
CAGUAGCCGCGGUAAUACAGAGGGUGCGAGCGUUAAUCGGAUUUACUGGGCGUAAAGCGUGCGUAGGCGGCUUCUUAAGUCGGAUGUGAAAUCCCUGAGCUUAACUUAGGAAUUGCAUUCGAUACUGGGAAGCUAGAGUAUGGGAGAGGAUGGUAGAAUUCCAGGUGUAGCGGUGAAAUGCGUAGAGAUCUGGAGGAAUACCGAUGGCGAAGGCAGCCAUCUGGCCUAAUACUGACGCUGAGGUACGAAAGCAUGGGGAGCAAACAGGAUUAGACCCCAGUAGUCCCUGUCUCUUAUACAC